rnacentral:rRNA from 1 species
AGAUGUUGAUCCUGGCUCAAGACGAACGCUGGCGGUAUGCCUAACACAUGCAAGUCGUACGAGAUCUACUUUUUUUCGGAAAGGUAGAUUGCAGUGGCGGACGGGUGAGUAAUGCGUAAGAACUUACCUUUUGGUGGGGGAUAACAGCGGGAAACUGCUGCUAAUACCCCAUAAUGCUGAGGAGCUAAAAGUGAAAACUGCCAAGAGAGAGGCUUGCGUCUGAUUAGCUAGUUGGUGGGGGUAAAGGCCUCCCAAGGCGACGAUCAGUAGCUGGUCUGAGAGGAUGAUCAGCCACACUGGGACUGAGACACGGCCAGACUCCUACGGGGAGGCAGCAGUGGGGAAUUUUCCCACAAUGGGGCGAAAAGCCCUGAUGGAGCAAUACCGCGUGAGGGAUGAAGCAUCGUGGUGUGUAAACCUCUUUUCUUAAGGAAGAAUCAAUGACGGUACUUAAGGAAUAAGCACCGGCUAACUCUGUGCCAGCAGCCGCGGUAAUACAGAGGGUGCAAGCGUUGUCCGGAAUGAUUGGGCGUAAAGCAUCUGUAGGUGGUUUCUAAAGUCAACUGUUAAAUCCCAGAGCUCAACUUUGGCCAAGCAGUUGAGUACUUAGAGACUUGAGUACGGUAGGGGUAGAGGGAAUUCCUUGUUUAGCGGUGAAAUGCAUAGAGAUAAGGAAGAACACCAGUGGCGAAAGCGCUCUACUGGGCCGUAACUGACACUGAGAGAUGAAAGUUAGGGGAGCGAAAAGGAUUAGAUACCCUUGUAGUCCUAACUGUAAACGAUGGAUACUAAGUG